rnacentral:lncRNA from 13 species
ACCAGUUACAGGCACCAGUGGCAAUAAAUUAGUAAAACCAAAAGCUUGCCUUGACUUGGAAGAGUUCCUGUGUUGAAUAGCCAUAGCCAGCUAGCUACAUAGCAUCCCUCUCUGUUUGAGCCAGGCGCUUGAGUAGGCUAAACUUGCUAGCUGCAUUUUCUAGCAAACUGAAAGUUUAAAGAAGACAACCAAAUAUAGCUAGCUCUCAUUCUCUCUUUCUUGCGCUAUUCUCCUUAAUUUUAUAAGAAAUGUAUUUGUUCCAAACUUUUCAACUAUUGUCUUUCUCUAGCUUCGAGUCAACUAUUCUCCACAUUUUAUGCACUGCAGUGCUAGCUAUCUGUAGCUUAUGCUUUCAGUACAAGAUUCAUUCUCUGAUCCUUUGAGUGGGUACAACAUGUCAGUUUAUGCUGCAAGAGCUCUGAUAAAUUGGGGGAUGUCCUCCGGAAGUGUCAUGUUGUCUUGUCUCUGUCCUUUCCCUUCACCCUGUCUCCCUCUGCUGGUCGUUGUUAUGUUACCUUUUCUCCCCCUCUUUUCCCCAGCUGUGCCUUGUCUCCUCCUAAUUACCCAUUCACCCUGUCUCCCUCUGCUGGUCGUUGUUAUGUUACCUUUUCUCCCCCUCUUUUCCCCAGCUGUGCCUUGUCUCCUCCUAAUUACCCAUUCACCCCGUUCCCCACCUGUUCCCUUUUUCCCUCUGAUUAGGUCCCUAUAUCUGUCUCUGUUUCUGCUCCUGUCCUUGUCGGAUUCUUGUUUGUUUGUUUAUGUGUCUCAUGCCUGAACCAGACUAUCAUCGUGUGUGCUGCAACCUUGUCCUGUCCUGUCGGAAUCUACCUGUCCAUCUGAGCCCACGUAUGUUCGUCAUUAAAGUACUCUGUUUGUUAAUUCGCUUUUGGGUCCUCAUUCACGCACCAUAACAGGAAGUCAUAAUUACUGUGUAAGCCUAUGGAAGGGGGUGAGAACCACCUAGAUUUUUUAUUGAAGUCAAUGUACCCAGAGGGGGACAGGAGCUAGCUGUCCU